rnacentral:misc_RNA from 1 species
UGCAUGGCUUAAUCUUUGAGACAAGCAUAUGACUACUGGCAGGAUCAACCAGGUAGCAUUCUUUCUCGACUUCGGACCCGCAUUGAUGCCACGGGCCUAGACGGCCUGCGGUCAAUGAGGUAGCGAGAGUCAUUCUUAUCGAGGGACUUGAUUGGAGCGACCGGAGGCCAAGACCCCCCACGUCCGCUUAAUUUUCCACAUCCGAGAGCACGAGCAGUUGUCCUGUGGACCGAGACAGCCACGACAAAAGUCAGAGGACACCUCCGGGACACGGGGACUGCUUUCGAGGUCCGCAUUGCAGCCGCAAAGCAACAAGGAGGACAGGUGCGGGGCUGUCCGACGAAUUUUUCCAUACAAUGGGAAGGCAACACAGG